rnacentral:lncRNA from 1 species
UGGUAGUCCAGCAAAGGCAGAGAAAACAGCUCCCUGUAGUGGAAAACUCCAGUCUUUUAACUGCUCUAUGCAUGGCUAUGUCUAUGAUCUUUUAUGUUGAAUUUCCCAUGCUGUUAAUACAAGUGUACUUCCAGUAGUACCACCAGAAAGCUGCAGUCUCAAUUCUUACACAGGAGUAAUUCAGAGAAACUGAAUAUGUAAAUGCAUUUGAGAUGGGAAUGUGAUGCUGGCAUAGAAAGAAACAGCAACUGAGUGGAAUUCAGGUUUUUCAAGUCCUCAGUCAGCACCAUCACCACUGUGCCUUCUUCAGACAGGAGCAAGGGUAGACAUGGGAAGGAUUAAACUCCAAUGUGCCACUGGGGGCAUCACUUGGUACUUGGGGCAUGAAGAGACU